GCACUCUCACCUCACAGACGGAGCAGACAGAUCAAAUGGAAAGGCUCCCCCAUCCUGUCCUCUACACCACCUUGCAGCUGGGCCUCAGCAACUGGGCUUUUAAUUUCAGUCUAAUUCAAGUCAGCAGCAUAGGGCAGCUCCUGGGAAAUUGGUUUACACAUGCGGACAAGCCCAGUAGCCCAGAGCUAACCCACUCACCAUCCCUGACCACAGAGGAGCAGAUAAGGAAGCAAGAUUUGUCGGGAUGGAGUCUCGCUCUGUCACCCAGGCUGGAGUGCAGUGGCGUGAUCUCUGCUCACUACAAGCUCCGCUUCCUGGGAUCACGCCAUUCUCCUGCCUCAGCCUCCUGAGUAGCUGGGACUACAGGCGCCCGCCACCAUGCCUGGCUAAUUUUUUGUAUUUUUAGUAGAGACGGAGUUUUACCAUGUUAGCCAGGAUGGUCUCCAUCUCCUGACCUCAUGAUCCGCCGCCUUGGCCUCCCAAAGUGCUGGGAUUACAGAUGUGAGCCACUGCGCCUGGCCAAAAAAUGAUUUUUUAAAGGUAUCUUUAAGGCUACUUAAGAAGACAGCUGCUCAUCACAUAGGACUGAAGCACACAAAAAAAGGCUUGAGUUCCAGUCUGGCAGCACUUGGCCUGCUCUGUCUGCCCAGAAUUUAGUGAUCAUCAAACCUGAAAUGUGAAGGAUCACAGGAAGGGUGGUGGAUUCUGGAAGGAUAUCCAGCACCUGCAGACUUAGUGGUUAGAGCUCCCUUGAAGUCCUGUGCAGGAGAAAUACCUAAAACAUAAAACUCAAAGCCAGCCUGCAGCAUCCUUUAUGCUAUCAAAUUGAAUCAGUGGAGAGAGAUGAUCCAAUUCACCACAGAGCUGAAGUGGAAGGAACAAAAUUAAUGAUUCACCCUGAAUAAAUAAAACCUAAAUGGCUUUGGGAGGCUUGGUCCAGAUGGAACUUUGAAAUGCUCUUCAAACAUUUCCAAAGUGCUAGAAGAUCCUAGGAACCUAAAGACUGUGAGGGUGGCAGUGAUGUGAAGAUGACAGUGGUAGUGCCGACAGAGUGAUGAUAAUAACAAUGGCAACGAUGGUGGUCCUGAUUGUCGGGAGGAUGAGGACAGUGGUGAUGAUGUGCAGGUGACAAAGCUGAUGAUGAUGGCGGUGGUAAUCGUGAGUGCAGUGACUAUUAAUCCAGGCCCUUUCCAUUCUACAAUUCUAUUGUUUGGGAUGACAAAGUUGUAUUAGGUCCUUGGUUCAAUUGAAACAAGCAUAUUUCGAAUUAUGCCCAAUUCUCAAACUGAUUAUUUUAUCCAAUAGACAUUUUGCAAGAGAGGAAAAUAUUCAAAGUUCUGUCCUCAGCCCUGAAGAGCACAUUUUAGUAAGAGUCUCAAGGAGUUCAGAGUUGCUAAAGACAGAAUGUUUGCGUUGUCCCAAAAUUCAUAUGUUGAAAUCUUAAUUUUUAGUGUGAUGAUUUUAGGAAGGGGGCUUUCGGUAGGUGAUUAGACGGGUAAUUAGAUUAUCAUCUUCACAAAAGAGACAUCAGAGAGCUCCCUUGCCCCUUGUGCCAUGUGAGGACACAGAGAGAAGACAGCUGAUUAUAAACCAAGAAGGAAACCCUCAGCAGACACUGGAUCUCAUGGCACCUUGAUCCUGGAUUUUCUAGCCUCCAGAACUGUGAGAAAUAAGCUUUGGUUGUUUGUACAUCAUCCAGUCGACAGUAUUCUGCUUUAGCAGCCCAAGAAGACUAUGGAACAGUCUAGGCAAGGAGAUGCAGGAGUAGCAUGAAAUUUUAAGAGGUUUAGGAAACUGCCUGGUGAAGAAACACAGGUCAGUAGAGAAGUGUGAAGGCUCAUUUAACUUUCUAACUGGAGAGAGUCACCGUUGCCAUGAAGAGCAGGUGAGACAUGGAAUGGAGAAAGAGCAUGCCCCAACGUGUCCCUGUGGGCAGCAGAGAAGGAAUGAGAUGGGUGUGUGUGGUGUGUGUGUAUGUAUCUAUGCAUAUGUGGGCAUUUUGUAUGGCAUGUGUUUGAAUGAGUAUACAUUUAUAUGUGUAGGGUGUUCGUAUAUGUGUUGUAUGUGUGAAUUUGUGGUGUGUGUAUGUGGUAUGUGUAGUGAUGCAUGUGUGGCUUGUGUGUAUAUGUAUGCUGUGUGUAUGUGAGAGCGUGUGUGUGCAUGCAUGUGUGUGCUUUGGGGAUGGUAGAGUGAGAGCUGAAAACCUUAAAGAUGUGUUUUAUGUGUAGUGAAAUGAAUAAGUCUGAGUUUUCCUGCACUUGAAUAAUAAUUACAAUUAUUGUUGUAUUUGUUUAAAUAAACAAUGAAUGGAGUAGUAAAUGAAUUAGGGAGUAGUUAAGAGUUUGGGACUUUUUACAACAUGCCAGGCCUGUGUUGAGCCUGAUACAUAGCUAAUCUCACAUCACCAUCAGAACCUCCUCAUGAGGCUGAUACUCUAAUAUUCAUAUCCCCCUUUGACAGAUGAGAAAAGGGAGGCACAGGGAGUUGAACAGCUCACUCAAGGUCCCAAAGUGGUCCAUCCAGAUUUAAUUCCAGGCAUGAAGCUGAAAGCUCCAGUGCUCUUGACCACCAGGCCCUACUGCAGAACGACCCAUGGGCAAGCACCUUAAGGGGUCUGGGCUGCCUGGCUGCAUUCAUGAGCAUUUGAAGAGUCUCGGCUGUGUGGGGGCAUGGGCGUGAAUGACCACAGAGCCUUGGCCCAAACUGAUGCUUGGAUGAACAAACACAUCAGCAUUAAAUUGUGCCUGCCUCUGUCACAGAAGAAAAAGUCACUUUGGUCUUUUUCUUCUUUUUGUUAGUUUUUUUCUCAGGCACGUGUAUUAAUAUUUUGCUGUCCUCUGACAUUUAGAAAUAUUCGUUUUGUAAAUAUGGUCUGGGCUCAGGGGUACAUGGUGAUACUCAGGGGCCUGGGAGUGGGGCGGCUCUGGAGGGGACAGAUGGAAGCAGAAAGCUGGGGCUAGUCUUCUUACCUGUGCAACCUCAUGCUCCUCUUUGCAUCUCUGAGCCGUGCUUCCUGCUUUGUAAAGUGCUUAAUUCACAAAGAUUAGGACCAUAUAUAAUAGCAAAGUACCUGGUUAUUUCCACAUCAUAAUAAGUGUUUGCUAAUUAGUGGUUAUUAUUACUAAAAAAUGUCUACUUAAUGAUUUUUUUUUAUUGCUUUGUUUGCUCUUUAUCUCAAAUGGACUUUCCCUCCUCUUGGAGCAUCCAAACAUUCUUUGGGCCUUUUGACAUAAAUGCUCUUGCAGCUGGCCCUUCCCUAUCCCGAUAAACAGCCACUGCUGUGGAGCUGCUGCCGAUUCUGCAAACACGGCUUCUGCAUUCUGGCUGAGCUGAGGUCCUGGCUUGGUCACUUUCCUCAUUCCCAAGUCCUUCUAAGGUCAUUCCCAGCUUUGACUUCAGCCCUGCAGGUAGGAACCGCCCUGAUCCCUCAUUAAAUGAGCACCUGUUAGAGGUCACAGCCCAUGGCAGACAGGUGUCAUUUAUUUGUUUGAAAGAUGAGGAAAUGGAAGCUCCGGAACAGUGAAGUGGUAUUCACAAAGCCACACAGCCAGAGGCAGAACUGGAACUUCUGCUUCAAGAGAAAGAGGAUAAAUCCUCAACAGCUUCUGCCCAGUGAGCUCAUUUGAGGACAUCAGGGAUCAGGGACUUAGGCAGAUGGGUUUGCAAACGCACAUGCCUUCUGGGGCACAUGUUUCCUGGACUCUGCCCAUCUGGGUCUUACUGCUAAAGAAGCCGAUCCCUGACCUGCCCUUCAGCCUUUCCUGCCCUACCUGCCAUUGCAUGAUGUGCUGUUUUCCUGUAUGUCUGGCUGGUGCCCUCUCCCCUCUCUGGUCUUUGCUUUUAAAUGUUGCCACUCUGAGGAGUCUCCCUGACCACCCUGUUUGACAUGCACCCCUCAAUCUCCCACCCUGGCAUUUCCUAUCUGCCUACCUUGCUUUAUUUUCCUUCACAGGACUAUUCCCAUUAAAAUGCUAUACAUUGCACUUUUCAUAUUUUGUUUAUAUUAGCUUAUUUGAUUUAUUACUAGCAAUGUAUAAGAGGGCUUUCACUCCCACAUCCUCAUCACCUACAGCUGCAGUUCUAAAACAAUAUUCCUUGAAUGAAAAUCCUGCAGGCAAGUAUUCUUGCCAAAGUAGGCCGGGCAAGUCCGAUGAUUUCGGGAAGUAACAACCUGAUUAACCCUGAUCGAUAGGAUACUGACCUGACUGAAUUAUUGUUAUAGCAGUUACCCUUGAUUGCAUGUCAAUUACCUACAACCACAUAUACUAGAAUAUCUUUUUUUGUUGUUGUAGUAUCAGAAGCACUAUAAAGUAUUGUCCCCUUCAGAGGGGACGAAUAUCUUGCUCAGCAUCAUGAUGUGAAAAAAUAGCAAAGUAUGGAUUAUCUCCUGGGCCAAACUGGCUCCAAAGUCGGUCUUUAGCCCACUGCAAGGGAAAGUUUCAGAUUUAUUGAAAGUCAGAAUCUGAUGUGGCUCUUUAAUAGAUAGAGAUUCUCAGGGCCGAACAGUAAGGUUUCUGAUUCCAGGGGUUCAGGGAAUCGCAUUUAUCAAUGCUCUCCUAUGUGGUUCUGAUGUGUUUGGCCCAUGGACCUGGGUUUGAGAAACCCCACGCUUUCAUCUGCUGCUCUCCAUUGAAAUAGCUAGAGUGGGUUUGAUUGGAGUUUCCUUAGUAGCCGUAUGUAGCUGAUAUUCUAUGCGUGCGUGAGAAAGGAGGGUGAGGAAGGGGGCAAAGUAAACAGGAGAAGGAAUAAUUGAUUGGGGGAUUUUAUUAUUUUAUCCCCCCACCCCCAGAUAUUUAUAGGUCAAAUAAUGCUGCAAAGAGACCCGUUGACUCUAAACUCAUAAAAUGCCUACUUGGGAGUCAGACUGUAAUUUACUUUUCUAAAGAUGCCUCAAUUAUAUCCAAGGAAAAGCCUGGUUACAUUUUUAAAACUCAGGAGCAGCAGCUUUUAAAUUUAUUCAGACUAAUGAGCGUGUAUAAAUUUGGCGAAUGCUAAUUCACAAGAGUCUGUUGCGGCGGUGGGAGAAACACAACAAGAGUGUCACAGCCAAGGAACAAAGUGAAUGGGUGAUGGGAGUGACAGUAAAGAUUUCUUUUAACAUCACUAAAAGGCAGCUGAAGUGACAGGUAAGAGGAAAGGUGCAGAAGUCUGCAGCACUUGGAGAAUUUGUGUACUAUCAGGAAGGGACGCGUUGACUUGAUACCAACUUAAUAAGUUCAGCAGAGAAUAAGAGCCAGGGAUGGAGGCUGCGACCUAUGGCAGAAGUGUGUCCACCCUGCUUCCUUGGGAGCCAGGAGAUGUUGAUCACAGUGCCUGGAGAAUGUGGCUUCUCUUCUAACUGGAAGCCCCUCCUUUUGCAAAUUUCAAGGCAUCAGGCACAUGGUUUUAAUCUGUCUCCACAGAUCUCAGAAAUGAAUUUAGCCUCCUCUGGAGACAGCUUCCACUUAGGAUCACCUCGAAGGGAAAGAAAUCCUAAAUCAAAACCCAUCAGUGUACACCUGGAUUUCAAGAGAGAUGCUCCCCAGUCACAUCUGCAGGCUUCUGAGGUUGGAAGACUCCAGCCCAAGAGAAAGCAGUGGGAAGCAAAAUUUUGAAACCUUGAUAAAGGUGGCUUUGGCUUUGAGGCCUGCAAUUAUGUUUUAGGGGAAGGAGGGAUGUCUGAAUGGAAUGCAGACCCCAAAAUGGCUAAAGUGUCAUGGUUUCAAUUUCUUUCUGCCGAAGGCAAGCACCUUCUCAUGCUGAUCUGUUGAGUUAGGCUUAUUCAUGAUCCUGGGAAACCCAGAGUCCACCUUGAGUGCACCCCUGAUCCUGGGAGACCCAGAGCCCAACUUGAGUGCACCCCUGCUUACCAUUCCAGCCUUUCCUCUCCUCACUUCUGCCAGAAUUAUGAAGCUACUUGCCAUUGUUAUAGAUUAACUUGUGUCUCCCAAAUUCAUAUGUCAAAGCCCUAGCUUCCUAUAUGACUAUAUUUGGAAAUGGGUCCAUAAAGGAAAUAAUGAAGGUUAAAUGAGUUCAUAAGGGUGGGACUCUAGUCCAAUAGGACUGGUGUUCUUAUAAGAAAAGGAAGAGACACCAGACCCCUCUCUCUCUUCAUGUAUACGGAGGAAAGGCCAUGCAAAGACACACUGAGAAAGCACAGCUCUCUGCAAGCCAGGAAACAGCCCUUGCCAGAAGCAAACCCUGUUAGCACUCUGCUCUUGAACUAGCCUUCAGAACUAUGAGAAAAUAAAUAUCUGUUGUUCAAGCCACCCAGUUGGUGGUAUUAUGUUAUGGCAGCCUGAGCUAAGUUUAUAUUCUCAGAGUAAUCCCUAUGCUUCAGGCCAUAUGCCAGUUGCUUCUUUUGUUUGGAAUGCCUUUUCUGAGGAUCAUUUGAUCGAUCACCCCCUUGAGGAUCAAAUGAUCCUCAGGUCAAGUUCCUGAAAGGCACCCUGGAUUUUUCUAGAUUGAAAGGGUAUCCUUGCUUAGUGCUUACUUAGCACCUCAUGCCCCUUCUCUUGUAAUGUUGAACCCAUUGUUUUGAAAAUGUGGCGUUGCCUGAUUUGACCCUUAACUAAGCUUUAAAUACCUUGAGGCCCUAAACUCAGACUUACAUCUUGGUGUUUGUAGAACCCACCAACCCACCUUAGUAUACGUCAGGGACUCAGAUGUCAUCACUGCUCAUAGAGUAGAUUGACUGAUGGAUGGGUGAAAUGAAUUGGUAAGUAAACAAAGACUAGAUGGAUGGAUAGACAAGUGGCUGGCUGGAUGGGUAGACGGGUGGAUGAAUGGAUAGUUGGAUGAAUCGGUGGAUGAGUGGAUGGAUAGAUGAAUAAAUGGAUGGGUAGGUGGAUGGGUGCAUGAAUGGAUAGAUGGAUGGAAGGAUGGAUGGAUAGAUGGAUGGAAGGAUGGAUGGAUAGAUUAAUGGAUGGAUGAUUAGAUGCGUAGUCGUCUAAAAGCCUGUUGCCUUUCCUAGUUCAGAGCUCCCAGAAGUACACAGGAUAGGAAGGGGUGGAGGUUGAGGCACCAGAGUAUUCUUCCCUAAUGUACCAUGUUCUCUUCAUCAAACCUUUAUAACUAAAAUGUCUUUACUUGUUCCCUUUAGUGCCCGUGCCCACUGGCUGCUGAAUCUUUACAGCAUUGAAUAGAUAUUCUUAGAUCUUUGUCUAGAAGCACUCUGGUCACUUUAUUUAUUUUGGAUGUUGUCACAUCCCAUUGUUGGGCUAAUUUCUAUUCAAAGUAGAGUCUGCAGAAUAAUAUGAAAUAGCAGUAACUAUGAAUCAAGAACUUCAACAAAUGACCGUCUCAUUUAAUUCUUACAAAAAAAUACCUCAAAACUGGUAUUAUUAACCUCAUGUUAUAGCUGAAAGCCAUGAGGCACAGCCAAUUGAGGGCAAAGACAGGAUUCAAAUUGUGUGUCUGCAGCCCUAGUCCAAAAUCGCAAGAUGAAUGAGCAGCUCUGCUGCCCUGUGCCUUCUUGAAAGAUGGACAUCAGUGCUAUCUGGAAUUGCACCUGCAUUUUCUGCAAGAAGAAUUAGGCUGGGAGACAUAUUUCUCUUUGAAAUAGUUUCACUAGGGACAUUUCCUACUGUGCUGAAAGCUGACCUCUUGGACAAACACACUGUCAUAAAAUCAUGCUAUUUGCUACAAGUGCAUUGGGAGUUUUAAAUCAUCAAACUAAAGUACCCCAGGCUCUGACAGUAAAAUUUUCAUUCAAAGAAGGACUCAGCUUCACAACAUAAUAAAUUAUAUAUGACUGGGACAUAUAAAACAUUUAAAGGUAUACAGAAUUUCUCUGCAUUUGUGUUCAGUGAGUGAGUUCAGCUCUUGAAGUACUUUUUUAUGUCAAUCCUGCCUAUUCAUAAGAAGAAAAUAGGCCCCUUUUUCUUUCUCUGCAAAUGAGAACCACAAAACAAGUUGCCUUCAUCCCAUGUUCUAAAGUUCAGAUUUUAUAUUUGGUUUUUUCUCUUUUUUCUCCAAGAAUGUGCUGGGUGAGGCAAUGACACAGUGAUAGCAGGACUGCAAGUGCAGCCUGUGUUGACCUCUGAAACCUGAGUAAUUAAACAUCAGAGACACCCACCAGAGAGACUGGAGGGGGCCAACCAAGACAUGUUAGGAUUUGGAUUGGGGGCUAUAGGUAAAGAGCGAAGCUCAUACAAAUAAAAGCUGUAAUUACCAGGAACCACUUUUUAAAGGGUGCUGAGUUUAGAGAGACAUGUAUUAAAAUGAUUGAAACAUUGCAUUCCAAGAUACAAGGUGACAUGCACUAUCCUGGCACAUGGUAGGCAAUAAAUGACAAGAUAUCUUGUCUUUCUGGACAGAAAGAUGGUCCUAGCAUAAUGCUAAUACACUAGUGUGUAUUUGUCAGCAAUUGCUGUGUUAAUGCUAUAUAACAAACUACCCUCCAAAUCAGUGGCUUGCAACAACAAACAUGUUCAUGUUUAUGAGUCAUCUGCUAUUUGACUGAGCUAGGCUGGGGUCUUUCCUGAGUGGCUCUAAAGCAGGAUCAUGAGCAGCUGGACUUGCCUGUAGACUGAGGAUUGUGUUCAAUACCAUGCUGUGUGUUUCUUCCUUCUCUUUGGACUGGAGCCAUUAGAGGCAUGCUCUGCUCUUGGUGAAUGGCAGGAAUCCAAGAGUCAACAAAAACAGGCAAUGCCUUAGGGGGCCUUGGUUCAAAACUGGCUCACUGUCCUUCUAACUAAUUCCACUGGCCCAAGCAAGUCAUAUGCCCAACACUGAUAUUAGUGGGGCAGAGGAAUAUCACAUCUGUGAGUGGUCUUAAAAGUCACGUGGCCAAAGGCAUGAAUAUAUAAUUCAAAUACAUCUAGAGUAUGAAGAAUUGCAAACACUUUUAUCUACCUCUCCUGGGCUUUCCUGAUCCUAAUCUGCUGCAAAACUUUGAGUAAAACCAUCUCUGUCUCCAAUUCCAGCAGCAAUCAAAGUGUGGCCCUGAUCAACAGCACCAGCCUCACCUUGGAAUUUAUUAAAUAUGCAAAUGUCUCAUGGCUCCUCCUAGACCUUGUGAAUCAGAAACCUAAGUUCAGGUAGUUAAAGUUACUUUUGCAAGUUCACAUGGCACUAAGUGAGGGUCUGACCCCAAAGCGCCUGUUCUUUUCAUACAUCUCACUGUCUACCAGGAAGAAGGGGGAAGGGAAACAAGCAGAGUUGGCAAGUUAGUCAAUAUUUUCUUAAAUGAAAAUGAGAGUUAAAAGCACUUCCCAAGUAUGCAGACAGCUCCAUUCAUGUGCCUUUCACCUCUUGCCAAGCCCACAUUCCAGUGGUGGUAUUUGGUUAAUCAUCCUUUGUGCAGAAACUUGAUCCCAACCCUCAGGUCCUUCACUGUGAUUUAGUCUAUUUUUGUUUUCUGAAAUCAUGUCUGUUUCCUCGGUGACUUCCAGGCCCUCCCAGCCCUGGAAGAGGAAUAGUGAGGCCUCUUGACAGAGCUAUGACAAGUUCCACUGUGGAUGGCAAGGAAAUGAGGGGGGCAGCAACCUGUUAAUGAGACUCAAGAGUGUCAAGACCCAUUUUUGUUAUCUGGAUUUUCAAGGCCGAGUUCAAACAUGAGGAUCCUGGAAAGGUUGGCAGACGUCUGCGGAAGCUACCUUCUCUGUUGUAAAAGUCCACAAAUGAGAAGUGGCUGCAGUGUAUAAACCUGUGGACAGCUCUUCUUGUACUGUCACCCACUCUCAUAGCUCACCAUCCUCAGGCACCCUCUUAUCUCUGCUCACAGAGUACCCACCUGAAAUGCCUAACCUGCUAACUCCACCCAGUGAAAUUCUGUGAAUCCCACAAGGUGUGUCUUAUAUGCCUCCUUUCCUCUGCUCAUUCCUUCCACAGACAUUAUUGUACAUGCCUUGGGUGCUCAACGGCAGUCUCUGGAUUCCCCAAACAGUACAGUAGUUUCUUUUAGCCCUUCCCAUUGCACUUGUCAAGGGCAUUUGCUUUUGGCAUUCAAAUUUGUGUCUAGUACAUAAUGGAGACCUGGCUACAGAAGUAUUGCAGUACUGAAAACAAUCUCUGCUAUCCACGGGCUUGAAAUUUACCCUCUGCAAGUGUAACUGGAGGAAAACACAGUAGUCACCAACUACGGGCAGUUACUGAAAUUCAAAUUAGUUGAAAUAAAAUAAAACCAAAAAUACAAAUCCUUAUUCUCACAGACCACAUUUCAGGUGCUCAGUAGCUACAUGUGGCUGUGACUGUUAUAUCACCCGGUGCAGAGAGAAAGCAUUUCUACCCUUACAGAGCAUUCCAUUAGACAGUGUUGCUCGGGAUUCUAUAUCCCCCUGAACCUCUGCUAUUCCCUGUCACUGGGUCCGUUUCCUUUAAAACCCUAACCAAUUAUUUGCACACUUAUUUGUUUUAUGGUGAUUCCCCGCAAGUAGACUGUAAGCUCUGGGAGAGUAAGGACUAUCUUUAUCUCUUUUACCACUUCCACCCUUACACUUAGAAGAGACCUGGCAGGUGACAAAAAUAUAUUGCUAAAGUGAACAAGUGGGAUGGUGAGUUUCUAUCCACUAGAGAGUCAUAGCUGUCUAAAGGGACACCAUGCACCAUUUUUCCAGCCUUACCUGGUCCUCCAGAUGCCCCGCAGAUACCUUGUGGUGUGGCCUUCGCUCUUGCAGGGUCUCAGCCCCCUGGGACAUCCUCCUACAUCCACAUCUUCAUGGCUGAAUCCCACCCAGACCUCAAAAAUGAAACGAAAGGCCACCUUCAGGAAGCCUUCCUCAAUCCAGUGCUUCCCUUUUGUCUCCUCAUCUUCUUCCCCAUUAAAGGGCUUAAGAAUGAUGUCCUCCAAAUUUGACCACCUUGGCUUUUAAACUGCAACUCUCUGGAAGCUUCACACCUGUUGCCUUAUUGGUGGCUGCUUUAUACACAUUUGUUCAUGUUUCUUAUCCACUACUUGAGAGCAGGGUCUAUGUCUAGCUUACAAUCAUCUUCCCAGGCUCUGAGAAAAGCAUUUAAAAUACAGCAGAGGCUUAAAACAUAAUAUUUGAAUGAAUAUAUGAGUAAAUAAAUGAUCAUGUUUUAAAGCUAUGAUUUUACUAUUUUUAAAUGAUCACUACCACUAAAGAACAUCAUUUCUUUAUUUUUUAAUCCAUGGCUUUUUAUUUUUAUUUUUUAAAGAUUCAUACCAAACAAUACAGCAUAAAGCUCUAUAACUUAUAAAAUUUGUAAAACCAAAUUCUAAAAUUGAGAAUUUAUUAUACACAAAAGUUAAAGAACCUAGGGCUGGAAGAAGCAAAUUUCUAUACUGAAAUGUCUUUAGGAAUGGGCACGUAUUCAUUUUUAUUUUGCAACAAAGGAAUUUCAUUAAAAUAAGAAAAAAUGUGAACCAUUAGUGUUAACUUACUUGGUUUUUAGAUGAAUAUUAAUCUUAUAUCUAGAAGUAUAUGUCUUGCAUCAGCAUUUCAAUAAAGAAGCAAUAAAUGCAGAACCAGCCCUGUAUCCCUUUUUCAUCAUAUGUUCAGAAGUACCAUGAGGACACUUCUGUGUGUUUAAGGCUUGCAAAGUCUUUGCCCAUCCACUGUCACCUUCCACUUUUGUAUCAACCUUACCAUUUGGAAUUCCGUUGAAUGCUGGCUCUCCAAAUAUCACCAGCACAACCUGUGGAUAGUAAAAGCUGUUUACUGCUUACUAAAGUAAUGGUUAACCUCAAAAGAGCUGAGGCUGUGUCUGUGAGGUGGGGCGGGGGAAGGCUGGAAAUUAUUCCAGAUUGGAAAUUCAGUUUAAAGCAGGUCUUCCAAUGGACAGCUUGACUGGGAUUAGGUAAGAAUCGUAAUACAACAGUCCAGACUGAAUAGGAUUAGCAAAGUGAACAAGGGAUUGAAAGAAUGUUUAGGUGCAAAGUGUCAAUUAUUUUUUACAUUGAAGAAGAGUUUAAGGUUGUUUUGGGAAGUCCUUGUAAUGAACAGUGAAGUCAUCAAGCCAUUUGCCUGGGGCCAGAAUCUUUGGCCUAGUAAAGUCAUGCUAACCAACGCAGUGGAAGAGUAAAGUUGUAUUAAUGUGGGGAGUAGAUUGAGUGAGGACAGAGAGUUUCAGUCCUUGGUGAUUUGAUCCAGCUGUGUGUGCAGGUGGAUGCUUUUGGUUCUCAAGCCACACUGGACAGAAGAGAAGCAGAUAGCUUUUACCUUCCCCCAAAUUACACGGCUUUGUGUUACAGAUACAAUUUCCUUCUUCUAUAAAAAUAUAAAUAUAAAAUAUAUAUACAUAUACAUAUAUGUUUCAAUAUGUAGAAACACACGCACAGACACACACACACACAUAUAUAUAUUUAAAACAUAUAUUUAAAAUGAUUGCCUGCCUUCUUCUUGAACUCUGGAGUGUGAAUUAAAGAUCCCUCCCUGUCUGUAGGGAACCCACCCCAGGAGGGUACAAGAUGGUGUAGAAAGAAAGUUGUUCUUCCCUGUCUGUAACAGCAUUUGCAAAAUAAGUCCUUAAUUUGAGUGCUUUUUGAAACACUACAGUUGAUUUCUGAUCUAUUAAAAUGUUAUAUAAGUAAAGAUAUAAGUACACAUUGAUCAGCAUUUUAUUCAAUUGUCUUUCUCGUUUGAGCCACCUUCCAGGCAGGUGGCUAUUCACAGCAUUGAGAAUUGUAAAUGCUGGUUUGCAGCUAGUACUUAGUGACUUAAUUUCAUUCUGUAAAAUAUUGGAGGCGUGUGGAAAGGUGCUAUUCUCUUUCAAGGAAGUAAUCUACAAAAUGAAUGCUAGAUUGGGUAUUAGGGCUAAUGGAACACGUUAAUAAUAUAGCAGGUUAACACUGACGCUUACUUACAAUAAAGCUGCCAGAGCUGGGACACUGACGCCCUGAAGGAAACAUUCUUCACUGUGUUCACGCUUAGAAACUCCCUUCUUACUUCAUGGACACAACUGAAAUGUUACGUUUCGUAUCUACUGCAGCCACAACACAGCAUCCAACACACAGCUCUCCUUUCUCCAGCUCUGCAGGCUGAUCUUGUUUUACACUAUACAUUCUCCUUGUUCCAAAUUUUAUCCAAUUCUCUCCCUUUUUCUAGGCAAAGAAUAAGACACUUGGACAAGGCCGUUAAUGGCAAUUUCCUAAGGCUUUUGAAGCCCCUGUAGACAAGGAUGAGAACCAGCAUUCUAAAAUAGGAAGGUCAGCAAAGCAAAGGAUGGCAAUGAGGCCACCCAUGGGAAACUACAGGAGCAGAGGCUGCCCCAAGAGGGAGCCCGAGGUGGGGCAGAGGUUCCCAUCCAGCCUCACAAACUCAGGGCACCAUAAUGAAGACAAGGUCCCUGCCUAGACAACCCUUUUCCCCACCACUGUGUCCUUAGACUCUAGAGUGUGAAUUUAAGAUCCCUCCCUAUCUGCAGGGAGCCCACCCUGCCCCGUUCUGCAAAGUGAGUCUAACAAUCCCUACCUAGCAGGGGUGUUGUAUUAGUCAGUCUUCAUGCUGCUGAUGAAGACAUACCUGAGACUGGGUAAUGUAUAAAGAAAAAGAGGUUUAAUGGACUCACAGUUCCACCAUAUGGUUGGGGAGGCCUCACAAUCAUGGCGUCAGGCAAAACACGUGUCUUACAUGGCAGCAGACGAGAGAAUGAGAGCCAAGUGAAAGCAGAAACCCUUAAUAAAGCCAUCAGAUCUCGUGAGAGUUAUUCAUUACCAGGAGAACAGUAUGGGAGAAACUGCCCUCAUGAUUCAAUUACCUUCCACUGGGCCCCUCCCACAACACAUGGGAAUUAUGGGAGCUACAAUUCAAGUUGAGAUUUGGGUGGGGAUACAGAGCCAAACCUCAUCAGGUGUGGUAUCAAAUGUGGUCACAUGUGUUAAAAGACUUUGUAAACUGUAAAAUUUAGAAGAGGGUAUAAUCAACAUCAUACCAACAGUGAAUAUAUAUGAAUGAUGGAAUUAAGUCUUAGUUUGAUUUUAUUCUUUAUAGAUCUGUGGUGUUUGCAAUAAUAAACACGCUUUUCUUGUUCCUGGGAAGAAAAGCUGUAAAAUAAGAGAUAUGUAUGUGUGUAUGCCUGUAAAGAAAAAAAUGAAUGAAGGCAGAGUCAUUCCAACUACUUUAUUUUACCUAAAUUAAAUAAUUUACAUCUAUCACUA